GACGAACGCUGGCGGCGUGCUUAACACAUGCGAGUCGAACGGAAAGGCCCUGCUUGUGUGGGGUGCUCGAGUGGCGAACGGGUGAGUAACACGUGAGUAACCUGCCCUUGACUUUGGGAUAACUUCAGGAAACUGGGGCUAAUACCGGAUAGCAUCUCCUGCUGCAUGGAGGGGGGUGGAAAGUUUAGGCGGUUGGGGAUGGACUCGCGGCUUAUCAGCUUGUUGGUGGGGUAGUGGCUUACCAAGGCUUUGACGGGUAGCCGGCCUGAGAGGGUGACCGGCCACCUUGGGACUGAGAUACGGACCAGACUCCUACGGGAGGCAGCAGUGGGGAAUAUUGCACAAUGGGCGGAAGCCUGAUGAAGCAACGCCGCGUGCGGGAUGACGGCUUUCGGGUUGUAAACCGCUUUCGCCUGUGACGAAGCGUGAGUGACGGUAAUGGGUAAAGAAGCACCGGCUAACUACGUG
rnacentral:rRNA from 1 species